UUGUUGUAAAUAGCCAGCGUCGUAACUAAGCGAAGUGCAAUAUUUGUAGUUGGGUCAUUCUACAGAAACGGUGGCAUUCCUGUGUCUCACCUUUAGAGCAAGCAAAAUACUUUAUAUUUAUCAAAAAUAUAUAUUACAUGUGAUCAUUAAGUCCAUUUAGACUGUUCUUAUAAUAGUAAAACAUAUUUGAGUCAUGUAAUGAGCAAUUCUUGUUUUUUAAUCAUUUAUAUAAAAUAGCAAGUGCAAGUGUAACCCAGGGUUCCAAGACACAUAUUGAAUAGAUAGUGAAACAAAGAAAAAUAGUAAAUAACUAGUAGCAAGUAAAUAAGUAAAUUAUCAUUCAAAAUGGAGACAAAAGAAAAAGACUUUUAAUAAGGAAAAAUACACUUUCUUUAUGUGCAGAAAGAUAAGUUGAUAGAAGGAUUAGACAACCAAUGCGGAUAAUGAUACUUGUUGUACAUUUGUUGAUUGGUCAUGUCAGAUGACAAGCCCGCCCUAACUUCCUCUGGUCAAGAUGGCUUGAGCGACAGCAGACAUGCGAAAAUUUCUCUGAACAGAUUAAGCUAAUUCGAAGUGAAUUACAAGUGAAUUUAGGAUACAAUUGCAGAUAUUUUAUUGAGGAGUGACAGUAACUUGAAAAGAAACAGAUUUAUAAAGAAAUAACGAAGAUUUGCAACGUUCUUCUAUCGCCCUGUGUGACGACCGCGUGAAAGAAAAUUUUCUGCAUUCGCCAUUAAGAUCGUUGAAAACCGAACUUUGUACAACUUUGAACAUAUUCCUUGGCCGGGUUUUUUUUUUUGUUGGAGUUGUUUUUUUGUUGGUGGAUUUGAACUGCUGUGCUGGAUCCUGGAUUCGUCCGCCCUGCUUGCCUUCCCUGGAGAGCUACAGCGGCGCGCGGACUGGCGAGCCACCCAUGUGAUCGACCUGAAAUCUUAAAGAGAAGGAAAGAGUUCAAUUGUGCUUUCUAAGAUGGUGGUAGGACAAGAGUUUGAAUUCUACAAACUGGAACUCAGCAACAAGUGGUCCAACAACCACACGGACUAAACUGAUUUGCACAGAUAGUGUUUUAGAAAAGUGUUUUGGUGUUAUAGUGUGAUAAGUUUCCUUUGCAUAGGUACUUUCAGUAGUACUACAUAAGGGUCUUGGUUUCAAAAUAAAAGUCCUAAAAUCUAAUUAGUGACAAAUCAUACUAGAACCAAAUAACUAAUAAUAGGGAUUAACUGAAACACAUCAAAGAAAUACUAAAAGUAUGGUUAAGGUAUAAAGAUAGGAAAAAUAGUCAAAUUAGUGGAACCAGAGAAAAUAUAAAUACAGACACAAAGUAAAAGGGCUUGGGACCAACUUGUAUUUUUUUCCUUUCCCCAUUUUGUAGAUAUGUGUACUGUUGUUGUUUAAUGCUUUCUACUUUGUAAUAAAAACAAAGGGUACAGAGAACCAAAAAGGGAAAAUUUAAAUUUAAAAGAAAAAAAAUCAUUCUCUUACCUUUGAAAUAUA